AAUAUCUUGUGAACAUUGUUAAUUACAGGUGUGACAACUACCUCUUCCAGAUUUGUAAAUCAUGGCCAAGGUUACCCCACAUACAACGGUGGGAUGCACAGCCCUAGACAGUAUGCUUCACAUUCUGGAUGUCUGAAUCUAUCACGGUAAACACUGAGCUUUGAAAUUUUUCAAUAAGAAAGAAAAACAAGCAAACACCUAGAAAGCACACUGAACUCUUUGAGCGAGAGAACUAGGAAGCCAGUGGGUCUCCCAAAAGCCGCUGGACAGGUAACAGAACAGGAUACUGAAACCGUCACUUCCCAUCUCAUCUGAAGAUGAACCAUAUAACCAUCAACACGGCAUCGUUCCUUUGGUUACUUUUAUAGAUGAACACAUAUUCCUUCCAGUCCUUGUGAUAGAAAAGGGUAAUUUUAAAUGGCAUUGAAACUCAAGUAUUAAAUAAAAAAUAUCUUUCUAUACAACAGCAGACAGUAAGUAUGUCCUGGCAAUUUCUCAAAGAUUUUAGUUCACAGGUUUGAGAAAAAUUCCAUUAGCUUUAAUUAUUUAUCAGCAGUCAAUUUAGAUUACUGUUCUUGACCUAUUUUUACAGUGUAUAGGCCACCCAGCAAUGAAAUAAAUGAAUAGUCUUUUUCUACAAUGGCUGAUUUUCUGAAAUAAAAGAAAUCUGGUUUAAAGGAGGAAUGAAACCCCAAACAUGUAAUUACCACAAUAUAUAACCCGCCACGCUGCUUUUGUAGUCGGA
rnacentral:lncRNA from 10 species